rnacentral:rRNA from 1 species
GUGAGGAAUAUUGGACAAUGGGCGCAAGCCUGAUCCAGCCAUGCCGCGUGCAGGAAGACGCAUCUAUGGUGUGUAAACUGCUUUUGUACGGGAAGAAACACUCCCUCGUGAGGGAGCUUGACGGUACCGUAAGAAUAAGGAUCGACUAACUCCGUGCCAGCAGCCGCGGUAAUACGGAGGAUCCAAGCGUUAUCCGGAAUCAUUGGGUUUAAAGGGUCCGUCGGCGGUUUAAUAAGUCAGUGGUGAAAGCCCAUCGCUCAACGAUGGAACGGCCAUUGAUACUGUUAGACUUGAAUUACAAGGAAGUAACUAGAAUAUGUAGUGUAGCGGUGAAAUGCUUAGAUAUUACAUGGAAUACCAAUUGCGAAGGCAGGUUACUACUUGUGGAUUGACGCUGAUGGACGAAAGCGUGGGGAGCGAACAGGAUUAGAAACCCCUGUAGUCC